rnacentral:rRNA from 1 species
AGAGUUUGAUCCUGGCUCAGAUUGAACGCUGGCGGCAUGCCUUACACAUGCAAGUCGAACGGCAGCACGGGGGCAACCCUGGUGGCGAGUGGCGAACGGGUGAGUAAUACAUCGGAACGUGUCCUGGAGUGGGGGAUAGCCCGGCGAAAGCCGGAUUAAUACCGCAUACGAUCUCUGGAUGAAAGCGGGGGACUGAAAGGCCUCGCGCUCAAGGGGCGGCCGAUGGCAGAUUAGCUAGUUGGUGGGGUAAAGGCCUACCAAGGCGACGAUCUGUAGCUGGUCUGAGAGGACGACCAGCCACACUGGGACUGAGACACGGCCCAGACUCCUACGGGAGGCAGCAGUGGGGAAUUUUGGACAAUGGGGGCAACCCUGAUCCAGCAAUGCCGCGUGUGUGAAGAAGGCCCUCGGGUUGUAAAGCACUUUUGUCCGGAAAGAAAACCGCUUCUCUAAUACAGAGGUGGGAUGACGGUACCGGAAGAAUAAGCACCGGCUAACUACGUGCCAGCAGCCGCGGUAAUACGUAGGGUGCGAGCGUUAAUCGGAAUUACUGGGCGUAAAGCGUGCGCAGGCGGUUCGCUAAGACCGAUGUGAAAUCCCCGGGCUUAACCUGGGAACUGCAUUGGUGACUGGCGGGCUAGAGUAUGGCAGAGGGGGGUAGAAUUCCACGUAGCAGUGAAAUGCGUAGAGAUGUGGAGGAAUACCGAUGGCGAAGGCAGCCCCCUGGGCCAAUACUGACGCUCAUGCACGAAAGCGUGGGGAGCAAACAGGAUUAGAUACCCUAGUAGUCC